rnacentral:rRNA from 1 species
UAAUAGCGUAUAUUAAAGUUGUUGCGGUUAAAAAGCUCGUAGUUGGAUUUCUGCUGAGGACGAUCGGUCCGCCCUCUGGGUGAGUAUCUGGCUCGGCCUUGGCAUCUUCUUGGAGAACGUUGCUGCACUUGACUGUGUGGCGCGGUAUCCAGGACUUUUACUUUGAGGAAAUUAGAGUGUUUCAAGCAGGCGCACGCCUUGAAUACAUUAGCAUGGAAUAAUGAGAUAGGACCUUGGUUCUAUUUUGUUGGUUUCUAGAGCUGAGGUAAUGAUUAAUAGGGAUAGUUGGGGGCAUUCGUAUUUAACUGACAGAGGUGCAAUUCUUGGAUUUGUUAAAGACGGACUACUGCGAAAGCAUUUGCCAAGGAUGUUUUCAUUGA